CGCGCAGGCGGCCAGGUCAGUCGAAUGUGAAAGCCCCCGGCUCAACUGGGGAGGGUCAUUCGAUACUGCCUGGCUUGAAGAUAGGAGAGGGAAGUGGAAUUUCAGGUGUAGUGGUGAAAUGCGUAGAUAUCUGAAGGAACACCAGUGGCGAAGGCGACUUUCUGGCCUAUUCUUGACGCUGAGGCGCGAAAGCUAGGGGGAGCGAACG
rnacentral:rRNA from 1 species